CGUGGGCCUCGUGGCUCCAUUUAGGCCCAGGCCCAGGGCCAGGCCCCCAGCUCUUGGUUUGGGCUGUGUUGUGGUAGCUCUUCUGGUGUUCUCACUCUUCUUUCUGAAUGUAGCUGAGACAUGUGCUAAAGGAUGAGCUGCAAAGAUGGAGUGGCAAACAGAUGCAGCAGUCUGCAUGUGGAGCCCAUCUGAUUUUUUGGGGGACUAUUACAUUUAAUCCCAGGACUAAGCUCUCUGAAGGUGCUCUCACCUCCCUGCCUGUUUUGAAGCAAAAUACGCUUGGAGGAUGAGAAGAUGGCUUGCUGGCUGUUCUUCAUCUUGCAUUUGCUUACAGUUCAUUCACGAUUAGCAACUUAUCUACUGUACUCUUACAGCUUCUAGCUUUUUUCCUGCCAAAUUUUGAUCAUUAAGUCUUGUAGUAUUGACUGUCUUGGAUUUUGCUUCACUUAUGUUCAACAUUUAAAGGUUAUUUUUAAUGUAUGUAAACAAAUAUACACUGUAUACAAAUGACCAGGAACUGUGAUUAUCAUUUCUUCCCACCUUUUCCUCCAACAUUUCUCUAGUUUCUGCUCUAACAGCAGGAACCAAAAAUGUGCAAAAUAAAAAGAUAUAUUUCUAAUUUAUAGGAGUUCUU
rnacentral:lncRNA from 1 species